GAAGACCUGUGGAAACACCAAUCGCCGCAGUGUUAGGACCGGGAAAUCUGGAUCGGCGCAGAGAGAGAGCCUUUUGUUGGCUCGGUUCUGGCCUCCCAGCUGCAGCACGGCUUGCGAGACGCGGCCGCGAAUUAAUUUGAAAACGCCUUUUGAAAUUGGCUAAUUAAAUUGGAGCGGCUCCGCGCCGGGAGAGAUGCCAAAAUAAGGCUGCCUGUCAGGAGGGAUACGUGUUUCGGGUAGGAAAACUGGAGUGGAAGAUAUGGCUGCAGACCGAGAGUCACAUGGAUCCAGGAAACAUCAGGGUCGGUCGAGAUGUGCCAAAAGGUAUUCAGGAAACGACACGGGUUCUCUCGUACCGUUGGAGCAUCCUUUGGGCUUUGCGCUUCGGGACGGCGGCUUCUGGAGGUCCGCUUUGGCCUUUGGCCUCGCCAAACCACGCUCCUUCUGCAACGUGUCCAGGAUGUCGCUGACCGACGUGACCAGCCGGGCCAUGUUGGUCUGACUCUCCGAAAGCAGCUGGAAAAGGAAAGAAAAAAAAAACUCUUGAAUCUCGCGGAGAAGGAGUCAUUUUCUCCGCCGAGAGCGUUGUCAGAAACUUAACAGCCUGCUUUGCAUCCUCUGCGCAGAGGCCCGUCUGCUAUUAGAGCCUCCAACCUGCUAUUAGAGCCUCCAAACGGCAUCGCCGGGCAUCACGAUCAUAUUAAUAACGAAAAGGGCAGCGUUUGCAGAGAUCGGGGCCAAGGAGCCGCGUGAGGCUCAUUCCGAACAGAACAGGAAAGGAAGAAAAUACACGACCAACAACACACACGUCUCUUUUGUUCCACGUCCAGAAUCUGGAAGAAGCUUGGCCACGGAAGAAUAUUGAUCGCAACGCCUCGUAAUCCAUUGUUUCUGUGAAAAAUCUGGCUUUGAAGCGUGGCAUCUGCAUGAGUCCUCCCUGCGUGAUUUCCAUUGGAAAACAAAAGAGAGAGCGAAAGGACGAAGAGUUUGGUUUGCCUUGUUGUUCCUGCAGUGUUGACGUUCCGCCUCGUGGAACUACAACUCCCAGGGUCCCCUAACAAUGAACUGUGGCAGUUCAAGUGGGGUCAAAGCGCAUUAAUUCUCCGGUGCGGAUGCAAAUGACGAUGGAUGCAGUUCCUUGGGAGCCGUUCUUCCUCCGCCAGAUUUAUUUAUUUAUCCCGGCCGGUUCUGCUUUUGCGCUUUCAAUUAAGCUGCGGAAUUAAUCUUGUACAACACACUCGGUCGUCAUUGCCGUCGUUGUCGUUCCUCUCGCUAAAAAAAUUCCAAUUUGCAUGAGGACGACUAAUUACUUUUGACAUCUGCCUCCAAUAACCACAGAUGAGGGAUCGCGGGUUCGAACCGGGAAAAUAAAUCCAUGCUAUGGGA